rnacentral:rRNA from 1 species
GACGAACGCUGGCGGCGUGCCUAAUACAUGCAAGUAGAACGCUGAAGAGAGGAGCUUGCUCUUCUUGGAUGAGUUGCGAACGGGUGAGUAACGCGUAGGUAACCUGCCUGGUAGCGGGGGAUAACUAUUGGAAACGAUAGCUAAUACCGCAUAAAAUGGAUUAUCGCAUGAUAAUCCAUUGAAAGGUGCAAAUGCAUCACUACCAGAUGGACCUGCGUUGUAUUAGCUAGUUGGUGGGGUAACGGCUCACCAAGGCGACGAUACAUAGCCGACCUGGGAGGGUGAUCGGCCACACUGGGACUGGGACACGGCCCAGACUCCUACGGGAGGCAGCAGUAGGGAAUCUUCGGCAAGGGACGGAAGUCUGACCGAGCAACGCCGCGGGAGUGAAGAAGGUUUUCGGAUCGUAAAGCUCUGUUGUAAGAGAAGAACGAGUGUGAGAGUGGAAAGUUCACACUGUGACGGUAUCUUACCAGAAAGGGACGGCUAACUACGUG